rnacentral:misc_RNA from 1 species
UAAUAAGUGUUUUAUGCACUUUUAAAUCCAUAUCCACCUUGUGUGCAAUGUCAGUCGAUCUUCUUCAUGGAGAUCGACCAAACAUCAACCUUUAUUUUUUAACUCUUUGUCUGAAAAAUAUUAUGAAUAAACAAUUCAAAAUA